AAGAAGAUAAAACACAACAGAAAGAAACAACUUGACAAAGAAAAUAACAUAGAAAAGAAAGUAGAUUUGUUCAAAUUUGACAAAAACAUAAGAAAAUUGAAAAAAAACACACACUUUAUCUACCAAAAUGUCAUUGGACAUGUUGGAAAUAUAGCAGUUUGACAAACACUAAUUAUGAUCAUUGAGAAGUUUUAUAUAACCUUAACAAUAGAAUGCGAUUAAAACAAUCAGUUGACUUUUACAGUUUUCCCCUUGUAGUGUUAUGUACCACCUUAAACCCAGUUUCCUGAUACUAAAAACUUCUCAUUUUAAAAACAGACAAUACAUUGCAAAAGUAAAACUCCUCUAUUCAAAUGUUUUUUUCAAUGAUUUACAUUUGAACCUAUCUUAUUACAAUCAAAAUUAACAAACAAAUUAGAAAAUUUUAAUAGAUUUGAAUGGAAAAAUAUAAAGGUAACAGUAGUAUACCGGUGUUCAAAAGUCAUAAAUUGGGUGAGAAAAAACAAAUCUGAGUAACAACCCAAUACAAGAGUGAUUUCCAGGACAUAUAUAAGCAAAUGGUACAAAUUUAAGUUUCUUUACAUGAAUGGGCAACAUUGGUUGACUAAGGUCAAACAGCUACAAAUGGCAUAAUUCAACAAUUGUGUCUUACUGUGAUGAAAUAACACAAGUGACAUUGUGACAUUGAAAAUGUACAUGUAUAUACAAAUUUAAGAACAGUCAUCUAUGGCUUUUUUUCGAGUUUAUUCAAAAACGCUUUGGAUUAAAUUUUAUGAAAUGGUUCAACCUAUAGAGGAAGCUGAUUGUAUACUGUGUACAGUUUAAGCUACAAAUCCAAUUAUAUGAAAUGCAGUUACACAAUUGUUAAUGAUUUAUCUUUCUUCAAAGGAGAUUUUAGAAUGAGACAGCAACCCAAGGACACAAAUAAACAAGACAUCAUUUUAGAUAUCGAAAUUUGUUGGAAAACAUGUUCCUAAUACACAGUAACAUAUUAUAUAUUGAAAUUCCAGGUUAAAAUAAAAUUGAGAAUGGAUAAGGGGAAAUAUGUCAAAGAGACCACAACCCGUCCAAAGAGUAGAUAACAGCAGAAGGUAUAUAUAUCCUAAUGAUAACUGAUAUCUCCAAACAAAAAUUAAUUCAUAUUAAAAUUAUCUUCAAUAUCAUGCAUGUAGGACUAUUUAAUGGAUUUCUUUGAUAGAACACCUCUUCAUUUAAUUUUGAAGUGAUAAAAAUAAUUCCCAGUAAGUUGAUUGGUGUCAAGGAUAAUACCAAAAUUUUAGAUAGAAGAACACCUCUUCAUUUAAUUUUGAAAUGAUAAAAAUAAAUCCCUGUUAGCUGAUUGGAGUCAAGGAUAAUACCAAAAUUUUAAGCAAUCUCCAAGUAUAUCAUAAUUUGACAAAAAACAAACACCCACUGAAUUAAUAAUCACAUUGCAGAAAUAUUUAUAUCAAGUAUGAUGAGGCUACUUCUUUAACCUACAGAUUGGCAUAUAACAAUUUUGAAAGUAAUAUAAACCUUUCAAAUAACACCAAGCUGAUGCUUUAAGACAUCAUUAAGUCAGAAAUCAAUAUAAAGGAUAACAAGCUAUUUACAAUUAAGAAGGAAAACAAACUUUAACAGGUUGAUAGUUUUUUUUUCAUAACAUUUUGUUGAAUUCAGAUGUUAAAAGAGAGAUCAUAUAUA
rnacentral:lncRNA from 1 species